CUGCCUCCCAAUCCACGGAAUCCAUUUGAUCCUUGCUUCUUGGUCUAGAAUAGAUCUUUCCGAAACUCCCCCUUUUCCUUCUUCUGAGUACCAUGUCUUUUACAAUUUUAUUCUUCCCUCUAGGUGUGGUCCUUUUAGUCUCCUUAGAUGUCCGGGUCAGCUUGCGCGUACCUCGACUAAUCACACGGGCCCUGAAGUUAACGACCAUGUAAGCCUCUAGUGGCCAUCAUAUGAGCAACCACAGGGCUCGAACCUGAGACCACAGAGGGAGCAAACCUCUUGGUCCCAAGCUCUUACCACUGAGCCACCACCUAGAUGGUUUAGGUGUGGUCCUUUUAGCCUCCUUAGAAGCUGCUUUCCCAUUCUGGCUUCUGUUCUUUAUUUCAGUUUCAUCAUUACCUUCUUUCCCGCUCUGUCUUUGCACCGGUUCACCUGGCGAGCAUACAGGUUUUUCAACUGGUAAAGUCUGAGGCAUGCGGCUCCUAUCUGGUUCAGGUUCUGACAUCAUAAUACCAUUUUGCCUUUGCACCUCUUCUUGAAGCAAGCAUAUGGCUUUUCUGCUGAUAAAUCUUUGGGCCCUUGAUUUAUAUCUGGUUCAGGUUCUGUGACAAAAUAUUGGCUGCCAUCUGAAUCAAAAGUGGGUCCAAUGGAUGCCAUGCUGCUCUCAACUGGUCUUUGGUCAUCUACAGUCA
rnacentral:lncRNA from 1 species